CGACACGAGAUUUGCACAGAAUGGACUGGAAUCGGAUUACAUCGGCUCACACAAAUGAAGGACACCAACAUCCUGUUUACAGCAACUCAUGAAGACUGGAUCUAUGUUUCUGAGAAUGUUUGACACGUGAUGAAAUGAUGGCGGCUUCGUGGAAAUAAUGUGGUUGAGAAUGUGCAGAUUUUGGUUUAAUUUCUGAAUAAAUGCAACAUGAUUCCUGCUUUCCACAACUUUUAAUAAAACCUGCAGCAUGCUGCA